AUCCAUAUUUCCUUUAUACUUUUGAUAGUUACAUGAAAAGCAAUUAUUACUAUUUUAAAAAUAAAUUUUU
rnacentral:tRNA from 1 species